CUCUGCAGCCGAAUCACCUUCAGCGCAUCCAAUCCCAUUGGAACUUAGACACUAAGUAGGGUCGAUCCUGCUCAGUACGUGCAUGAGCCACUCCCUGGAAAUACCAGGUGUUGUAGGCU
rnacentral:rRNA from 1 species